CUGCUGGGCUGGCGGGGCGCAGGCCGCGGGACCCGAGCCCGGGGGAGCGAGAGAGCGGAGGCGCCGAGGAUCCGAUUCAUUCGCUGGGGAGACCUAUGGGCCGAAGCCGUGUAGAUGCGUUUUAAGCAGGGGCCUCGGCUCCGCAACUGCCACUCCUCCUCGGGGUGUUGCACAAGUUUCGAGGUCACCGGCGACCCCCCCUAGCAGCGCUCCUGGCUCUGGCCCCCGCGAAGGAGGACGGAGUUUGUGUGUUGCAUACUUUCUAAGGCGGCGGCUGCAGCAGCGGCUCCAUCCAGCCCGUCAGCUCCUCCUGCAAGGCAUGGCUGGCUACCUGAGUGAAUCGGACUUUGUGAUGGUGGAGGAGGGCUUCAGUACCCGAGACCUGCUGAAGGAACUCACUCUGGGGGCCUCACAGGCCACCACGGCAGAUUUUGUAUUUUCUUUCUCCAUGCCCCCGCAUUGCACCUUGUAGAAACUGCCAUCUAACAUCUGCUGAAUGGACUUGACGAGGUAGCUGCCUUCUUCGUGGCUGACCUGGGUGCCAUAGUGAGGAAGCACUUUUGCUUUCUGAAGUGCCUGCCACGAGUCCAGCCCUUUUACACUGUCAAGUGCAACAGCAGCCCAGGUGUGCUAAAGGUUCUGGCCCAGCUGGGGCUGGGCUUUAGCUGUGCCAACAAGGCAGAGAUGGAGUUGGUCCAGCAUAUUGGAAUCCCUGCCAGUAAGAUCAUCUGCGCCAACCCCUGUAAGCAAAUUGCACAGAUCAAAUAUGCUGCCAAGCAUGGGAUCCAGCUGCUGAGCUUUGACAAUGAGAUGGAGCUGGCAAAGGUGGUAAAGAGCCA
rnacentral:sRNA from 1 species